CCAGGUGGCUCUAGGGAAGUUGCAUAGAGGCAUUCAGAGUUCUCUUCCAUUACCCAUUUUUAUUCUUACUGGGUUGCUUAGUCUGCGGGAGUAAGCCACUGAUCUUUAGUCAUGCACUUCAAGUGAAUUUCAUGACUGAAUUAAACCCAGAUCUCCACAGUCCUAGCUAGUCCAUAACUUUGAGUUCUACAACACUCAAGUUCUAUUAUUCCUCUGUUGUAAGGAUCACAAGAUAUGUAUGCACUGCAUCUUGGAAACUCUACUGUACUGUAGAAAUAAUAACUAUUAAAGAUGAUGAGGUGUAUGCUUAGAGGUGCUUUUUGUGUCACUUUGCAUGCCUGAGAAGUUGUGAACUGAUUCUAGGGACUGUCCUGCUUGUAGUCAAAGUUGUGUCUAUGGUAAAUGCUGUUCCUUUCUUAUGUUGCUUCAUUUGCUUGUGUGUGCUCUUGAAAGUUCUCUGGAAUGCUGGCCAGGCCCCUUUAAUUUUCAUUAUGAAUGAAGAGUAAAAUGUAAAGGUUAUCUUCUGGCAGUGCAACUGUGCUUUUUUUUUUUUUGUAAUUUGGAAGCUUUAUUAGAAAUGUCAGGAGUCCCAUAACGUAACAAGGCAAAUAACCACAGAGAGAACUUGUUGGGAAAGGCAACUUAGAUUCUAGAAAGGUUUGUGUGUGAUGUGGUUGUUUUUAAUCAGUCAGCCCUUGAAAAGAAUUGCCUGAUAUUUACUUCUUUUACCAUCCUAAAGGGUAAUGUUUCUGAGAUAGAGUUUGUUAGCACCUACACCAUAAGCCUAGUUAGUGCUGGUUAGGGAAGUGUAUGAAGUAAUCUACUCCAAUACCGAAUAGAGUAGUUCCCUUAACAGAGCUUAAAAUUAGAAUGCAUGACGCACAGUGAAACAGUCUGGGAUCACAGAAUUGUAGAGUUGGAAGGGACCUCAAGGAUCAAUCAGUCCAACCUUUGUAAUACAGGAAUCUUUUGCCCAAUGCGGAGCUUAAACCUAUGACUCUGAGAUUAAGAGGCCCAUGCUUUACUGACCCAGUUGUCCAUGGUCAAAUGGUAAACUUAGUUUUGUUGGAGGCCAUACACUGGUGGUAGAUUGGGCCAAAACUAAUUGUAGACGGAUCAGAGCAAAAGUUAGGUAGAGCCAGAGUCCAGAAUCAGCAGACUGCUGUUUUUACAUAAUUAGUUUCUUAUUCUUAGUCUUCAGAGCAGUGUGUGAUAUUAUUCUGUUCCAUUACUCUUUAGCCACUAGGAAGUAUCACCAUGUCAAAUCCCCACCAAGCAGAGGAAGAAGCUAGUGCAUGUGAAGGGAAAUCCUCAGUUCCAGAUUCCAAGGGUUUGAUUUUUACUAGUGUGAUUCAUCUGAGAACUGAAGCUGCUUUGCCCAUUGAUGGUGACUUGCCAAGUAACUCUUGGUAGAAGAUGUGUCAAUUUCCCAUGGAUGGAGAAUGGAUGGAGAAUGAAUUAGGAUAUGAUUUCUAUUACAGUCAUACCUUGGGUUGAAUGUGCUUCAGGAUGAGCGCGUUCGAGUUGCGCUCCGCGGCAACCCGGAAGUAACAGAGCGCGUUACUUUCAGGUUUCACCGCUUGUGCAUGUGCAGACGCUCAAAAUGACAUCACACGCAUGCGCAGAAGCGCCAAAAUGUGGCCCACGCAUGUGCGGACACAGGUUACAUUUGCUUCUAGAUGUGAACGGGGCUCCGGAACGGAUCCCGUUCGCAUCUAGAGGUACCACUGUAUGUUCUUUUCUGUCCAUGUAAAAUAGGAAUUGAAUUUUAUGGGAAAGGUGGCAGUAAAAUACAAAUGCAAGCACAUUAACAUUUUACUUCAUGCUUUUCUAAAGCCAAGCAUUGGUGUUGAAAUAAGCUUCCAUGGCUUUUUAACAAGCCCUGAGUCAAUGAGCUGCAUAGGCAUCUGAGUCAGAUCUGAAGGGAGCUGUUUGCACCUCAAGCCCUUUUUCUCCAUGCCUGGGAAGGUAUAGGGAUGACUGUGAUUACUUGUUCCUCCUUUCAGACAGUCUAAGCUAGUUUCUUCUCUCCUUUUAAAAGCCUUGUUUGAAUCAGGCAUUGAAGAAUCAUCCUGUUUAGUCUUGCCUGCUGCAUUUGAGGCUCAGCAUCUUGAGGUCUGCUGUUCAGCUUUCAGUGCUUGUGUGCACUUAGCAAUGUCCUACAAGACGUUUCUCACAAGGUGCCCUACCAACAUUCUGAUUGCUGUAUUAUCUAGAUAGGCAUGUCAAGCUUCUGUACAUAUUGCUAUCCUUAUACUGUAUUUGCUGCUGUCUCCUUUAUGAUACAGUUCUCUUCCCUGAGUCUAAAACAGUCCUCUCUUACUCUCUAGCUUGGGAUUCUGAACUCUGAAUUCAAGGUUAAGAGUUAAUACUUAACUCUUAACACUUCUCUGAGCAAAGGAGGAAGAAUGUGCUUGAGAUGCGUGCCCUUUUGAAAUCCUUGUGGGGGUCCCAUUUAAAAUGGUAAUUUUGGGGAAACCACAACAUAGCUAACAGUUCUGAACAAACUACAGGCAACCCCCAAUUUGCACGGGGCUUGCAUUCUGAGUCAUUGCAUGCUUCAGCGGUGUGUGUGUAAGUAAACCUGCCCUGUUCCACCCCCUCUGUGCCCGCGGUUCCCUCUUCUUCCAGAUUCAAAAACUGUUCACAUGUGUUCUUUGAACGUGCACAAAACGGGAGUUGCCUUUACUUUUAGUGAUAAAAAAUUGGUUAUCAUAGACCUAUUGUAAUAUGUCUAUAGAGAAGUGGGCAUUUGUGUAACAGACAAUGCUAGAUAUAGUAUGAGUACAG